UCCCUUCAGUUUUACCCUUUUAGGUCACACGUCUGGACUACGUAAGGCUAACGGGCCCUGGGAGGCGGGAGACCAACGCUAGCGGCGGUCAAGGCCUCUCCUUGGUGGAAAGAUGAAGCAUGUUCUUUGGAGGCUGAACCCUGAGACGAAAAGCAGGUUCAGAUUUACCGAAGUGGUCCUAUGAGCCAGACGUGUAAUUGAGCAAGACCCCUUGAGGGCAGAAGGUAAUAAGGUAGCACUUAAUGAGCAGCCCCAAACCAAUGGGCACAAAGCUAGCAGCGUCCUUUUUAAACGGGUUGUUUCAUUUAGUCUUUAUAAUGAGGUUGCCAAAGUUAGCAAAGUAAACUCUAAUUAACAUCUAGUUGCAUCUGAAUGUCAGAUAAGCAACAACUAUUUUUCAGUAUAAGUAUGUCCCACAUACAAUAUUUGGGAUAGGCUUAUACUCAAAGUGUUGUAGUCUGGCUGAAAUUCAUAUUUAGGAGGACAUCCUGUAUUUUAUCUGGAAGUCCUACUUAGAAGAGUCCUAGGAAGUAGGACUUCUUAUUCCCAUUUUCUAAUCGAGGAAACCAAGACUCAGCGACAUUAAGAAAUUUGUCCAAGAUCAUAAGCGAAGGCAGACGAGUUGGAAUAAGACUCUGGUUCUGUUUGAUUUUAAAUCCUACGCCAUCAGCAGCGACAGCAGACUGUCUCCUCAUCCGGGCUAAUCCGUAGAGUCGGUGUUUAUUCAGUUAAAUAAGCUGCCUCAAGAGAAAGAACUAACUUCAGCUUUAAUACUAGAUAUUUAUUAAUGAUCUACCUCGUCCCUGGGUUAGGGCUGGAGCGGAGGAAGGCUGCACACGAGGAUAAUCUAGGAACCAAGGGAGAGAGAGAGAGAGAGGGAGAGACAGAGAGGGAGGGAGAGACAGAGACAGAGGGAGAGAGAGAGACAGAGGGAGAGACAGAGAGAGAGGGAGAGACGGCGAGAGAGGGAGAGACAGAGAGAGAGUGAGAGACAGAGAGAGACAGAGAGAGGGAGAGACAGACAGAGACAGAGAGAGGGAGAGACAGAGACAGACAGAGAGAGAGGGAGAGACAGAGCGACAGAGAGAGAGGGAGAGACAGAGAGGGAGGGAGAGACAGAGACAGAGAGAGAGACAGAGAGAGAGAGAGAGACAGAGGGAGGGAGAGACAGAGAGGGAGGGAGAGACAGAGACAGAGAGAGAGACAGAGAGAGAGAGAGAGAGAGAGGGAGGGAGAGACAGAGAGGGAGGGAGAGACAGAGACAGAGAGAGAGAGAGAGGGAGAGACAGAGACAGAGAGAGACAGAGAGAGAAGGAGAGACAGAGAGAGACAGAGAGACAGAGUGAGAGGGAGAGACAGAGAGAGACAGAGAGACAGAGUGAGAGGGAGAGACAGAGAGAGACAGAGAGAGAGGGAGAGACAGAGAGAGACAGGUGGGGGAGAGCUGAAAACGCCAAUGUCUUCCUCGUCAGUUUCAAGCUUUGCAGUAGGAACAUCGGGUAUCACAGUGGAGUUUGCUUUGCUUUAAAAUCUUGAACUCCGCUCUUGGUGGUGGGGACGUGGGGUGCUGAGGGGGGAGGUUGAUGCCUUUCCUCAGUAACCCCCAAAAGCAUGGUGCCGCCUUGCCAGCGAUCAGCCUCUGCCUCUUUGCGGUGUCCCCGAGCCCUGAGUCCCGUGGCGCCAGGUCACGCGGUGACUUUCCGGGUUUGACGGUGGUUCGGCUGUCACACUGCUUACCUCGCUGACACCAGGUGACCCUGGUGAGUGUUGCCAGUGAGGUGGCUGUCCCUCUUCUCCCGCAGCCGUUUAUGUGAAAUCUGCCCAUGCUACCAGCUUGUGUGAAGGUCCCCAAAAGAGCUUAACUGGUAAUAAUAAUAAUAAUAAUAACCAAGGCAGGGUCCAAGAACGCAGGUGUUGGAAGCUCCAAGGAAUUAGAAUCUUCACAAAAUCAGAUGUGUGUUCUUCCCUCGUGCCAUGCAUUGUUUCAGAUGUUUUCUAAGUGUUAUCCCUGAAUGUCGCAAGAAAGCCCGGAGGUCGGGGUGGCUCUCCCUUCCUUCUGGGCGGCAGUGCCAAGGCUCACAGAGGGUGAGGGAUGUGCUGGAGGUCACGCAGCCUUAUGGAGAUCUGCCCUGAACCAUGCUUUUUGUGCGCAUGGAGUUCCCACCUUAAGACAAAGCCACCUGAACCUUUGGCCCUGCAGGCAGGCAGGAAAAUUCACCGCUAACCAGCAAGCAGAGAUGGUGUUUGGGGCCUUGGCAGAAAGAAAUGGGGCUGAAUCUAACACCGUUCUCUCUUAUCUCUUAAUGGAAGCCGGGUACACAUGCCUGUUUUUGCAGCUCACAUCAAAGCCAGAGCUCAACACGGUGCAAAGGCGUAGCUCCCGCUAUAGCGUAUGGAUGGAUGGUUCCUCUUCCCUGUAUCCAUUUACAAAAUAGAAAAGAAUUGGGAAGAGACAAAGGGACCCCCAAAAAGCUUAUAUGUUGAUGGCCAGAGCCUUUUUAAAGUUGAAGUUCUGUUUUUGAUAAGAAAAAGCUUUUACGGAUGCUUUUUGUAUGGCGCUGUGUUUCUGUAUUUAUAGUCAAUUGCGUCCUUCGCUUUGCUUCUCCUAUGCUACAAUGCUAAGUUUCCCUUCAUCUUUUCCCAAUGGUUAACAUUCUGCUUCUGAAAAUUAUCCAUUAAAAUUUUAUCAAUUUUGUGUUUUGGUGAGACAGUAUAUGAGAUGCCAUUGUGAAAUUAGAUUUUUCUCUGCCAUCAGGCGCCCAGUCAGCAAUCCAAUCCCAUGUGUUUCUGUUGAGACAUUAGGGCUUGAUAUAAUUUUGGGCAGAAAACAUUUUAAAAAUGAAACAAUUGAAUCUUCUAGAUGGUCUUGGGGACCCCUUAGCUUAAGAGAAUACACUUCCAAAUCAAAAGCCUUUCAGUCAUUUUAAAUAGUAUUUGGAUGAUAUUUGCUCUGUGCGUAGUAGCAGUUUGAAUUUGUAUUGAAUGUUUGACCGGCUCACGCACACAUAGAUGAUGUAUGAAAUUAUUAUUUCAUAUUUUUCUAGUGUUUGCAUUGCAAGUGACAUCUGGCUGACAGGAACUUGGAGAAAUGGGAUACGAAGCGAAGGCUGCAGUUACCACAAGCAUCAUAUUUAUCAAAAGGUUUAAGGUUGGCCUGUCUUUGUUUAACGUAUGAAACUUGGAGCCCUGGCUGGGAAGCGCCGUGUUUUGUGUGUUGCCUGCAUGUUCCCACGGAGUUGUUUGGGAAAAGAGGAGCCAAAGAAUAAACACUAAUUGUAUUAUUUGUUCUGCUCAUGAAACUAAAUAUUAUACACUCUAAUUUUAAGAAAACACACUUAAAUUAGAUUUGAUAUAAUUUCCAUACAUUUUGCCUGUAUUCAGAGAAUUUACAGAUUUCGUGUUAGACGAGCAUGCCUAUUGAGCACUAGUCAUCAUUAUUCAGGAAAGGCAACGUGGGAGAAAAAAAACUCAACUGCGUUUUGAGUUUUAUUUUCUAAUUUGUGAAUGUGCAGAAAUUGAAAGAAGACAUGUGAAAACAUGUGGUACCGAGUUUGCAGAAAGCGCUGAUGCUCUUGAAAUACACGCAUGCCAAUGUGCACAUGUUCCUCUUCUGCCUUUUCGUGGAGGUCGUGGCACCAAUUAGGACUUCAGUCGUGAAAAACAGCAUUCAUUUUACAGAAGUCUCUGAGCCUCCUAUGGACGGUGCACUCGCCAGGUCCUGGAGAAAUGCAGAGCAAUCAGAAAAUCCUUGCUCUCAAUAAACUCCCAGUCUGGUAACAGAGGAGGUCAGUGUGGAGACCACUGAGUUCAAUAUCAGGUUACAGAUGCGGAGACAGGUGUGGACGCCUUGACAUAGUAGGAGCAAAGGGUGACAGCGGUCUGUCUCCCAAAGACGGGAAACAAAAAAUGCAUUACAGAGGUCCCUGUGAAAGCCUUUCACAUAUGAAAGUAAGACAUGCUGAUUUUUUCAAACGUGCAAAUUUCAGGAAAGUAGAAAGAUGUCAAAAAUCGCCCUUGUUCUUAUUGUCUAAAGACAAAUACUGCAAAUCUGCCUCCUACCAUUUUCCUCCAUUGUUUUCUCAAUAUAUAUAUAUUUUUUAAUUUUGAAAGCAGUGUGGUAGUACUGCAAACAUAUUUCCUAUGUAAAGAAGAAAUUAGUUGCAGCUUUUGAAAAAAAUCCAACAUCAUCAACGAGUGCCUUUCCAUGUUAUUUUAAGCUCUUAACGUCGUCAUUGUUGAUGACGGAAUAACAGUCCAGUUGACGACGUAGACUAACCAUGACUCUAUUAAGAUACUUGGUUUGUUUGCUAAGUCCCUCGACCAGCAGUAAGUUGAGGAUGUCUAAGGAGACAGAAUUCAGGAGCAGAGAGAGAAAACGCUCCAAUGGGGGAUCCCUAGCACCAGAAGAAGACAGGACCAAGGCAAGGGACAAUUUUUCAGCACCCGUGACAGUGCUAGGCGCUUGACCCGAGCUGUUGUGCCUACUGCCAGCCAAGCCUUGACUCAAGCGUGGUGUAUGGAAACAGACCGGUCCUCCUGGAGCUGACUUCCCCUUUAUUUCCCAGCUUCAUCCGGCUGUGUCAUUUCCAGAAGAGCAGCUAUUCUCUCUGAUCCUCGGCUUCUUCAUGUGUAAUCUGGGGCCAUGUUGGCAGUCAUUCAUUUAACAAGAGCUUAUUGGGCUCACAGGGUGUAUAAGGUAUCUUGCUAGGCAUAGGGGGCAUAAGAUAAAUAUGAUGUGUCCUGUGACUUUGAGCAGCUGACAGCCUAGCGGCAGAGUCAGACAUGGAAACAGAGAUGAGCAAGGAAUGAAUUCUUCCUAGCGGAGUAGCAUUUGGUCUGGAUCCUAAGUCAUGAGAAGCGGG
rnacentral:lncRNA from 1 species